UCGAACAGACCUAAAACUUUUAGCUUCUACACCAAAAUUUUAUUUUAAUCCAACAUCGAGGUCGCAAUCUCUUUUUUCGAUAUGAACUCUCAAAAAAAAUUACGCUGUUAUCCCUAAGGUAAUUUAUUCUUAUAAUCUUAACUUAAGGAUCAAAUAAUCAUAUAUUAAUGUAAAAAUAAAAAAAAAGUUUAUUAAAUUUUUCUAUCACCCCAAUAAAAUUAAUUUUAAAAUCAAGACAUUUAAAUUCUUAUAAGUCUUAAUAUUAAAAGCAAUAAAACUCUAUAGGGUCUUCUCGUCUUUUAUUUAAAUUUAAGCUUUUUUACUUAAAAAUAAAAUUCUAAUCAAUUUAAAUAGAGACAGUUAUUUUCUCAUCCAACCUUUCAUUCCAGCUUUCAAUUAAAAAACUAAUUAUUAUGCUACCUUUGUACGGUCAAAAUACCGCAGCCAUUUAAUUUAUCAUAGGGCAGGCCAGACCUUAAAUUAUAAUCAAAAG
rnacentral:rRNA from 1 species